UAGUAGAUAGAAUUUUAAGAAAAAAAUUGUC
rnacentral:piRNA from 1 species